rnacentral:rRNA from 1 species
CUACGGGAUGCUCCAGUGAGGAAUAUUGCGCAAUGGGGGAAACCCUGACGCAGCGACGCCGCGUGAGUGAGGAAGGCCUUCGGGUCGUAAAGCUCUGUCAAAAGGGAAGAAGUGUUAUAUGGUUAAUACCCAUAUAAUUUGACGGUACCUUUAAAGGAAGCACCGGCUAACUCCGUGCCAGCAGCCGCGGUAAUACGGAGGGUGCAAGCGUUGUUCGGAAUCACUGGGCGUAAAGGGCGCGCAGGCGGUUUUGUAAGUCAGAUGUGAAAGCCCACGGCUCAACCGUGGAAGUGCAUUUGAAACUGCAAGACUUGAGUACCAGAGGGGAAAGUGGAAUUCCCGGUGUAGAGGUGAAAUUCGUAGAUAUCGGGAGGAAUACCGGUGGCGAAGGCGACUUUCUGGCUGAGUACUGACGCUGAGGCGCGAAAGCGUGGGGAGCAAACAGGAUUAGAUACCCCCGUAGUC